rnacentral:rRNA from 1 species
CCUACGGGCGGCAGCAGUGAGGAAUAUUGGUCAAUGGCCGGAAGGCUGAACCAGCCAAGUCGCGUGAGGGACGACUGUCCUAUGGGUUGUAAACCUCUUUUAUCAGGGAACAAUAAAUUCCAUGUGUAGCAUGAUUCCUGUACCCUAUGAAAAAGCAUUGGCUAACCUCGUUCCCGCAGCCGGCGUAAUUCCGAGGAUGCGAGCGUUAUCCGGAUUUAUUGGGGUUAAAGGGUGCGUAGGCGGGUUUUUAAGUUAGUGGUUAAACGUCGGGGCUUCACCUUGAUUUGCCAUUAAUACUGUAAGACUCGAGUUCAGACGAGGUAGGCGGAAUAAGUUAAGUAGCGGUGAAAUGCUUAGAUAUAACGUAGAACUCCGAUAGCGAAGGCAGCUUACCAGACUGCGACUGACGCUGAAGCACGAGAGCGUGGGUAGCGAACAGGAUUAGAUACCCUUGUAGUC